CCCAGAUAACAUAAAUGCACACCCAACAUUAAAAGAACAUCAUAAAAAUACACUUUAACUAGGGCAGAAACCACCCAUAACCCUGAACAUUUUUUU